ACCUACGGGGGGCAGCAGUAGGGAAUCUUCCACAAUGGACGAAAGUCUGAUGGAGCAACGCCGCGUGAGUGAAGAAGGGUUUCGGCUCGUAAAGCUCUGUUGGUAGUGAAGAAAGAUAGAGGUAGUAACUGGCCUUUAUUUGACGGUAAUUACUUAGAAAGUCACGGCUAACUACGUGCCAGCAGCCGCGGUAAUACGUAGGUGGCAAGCGUUGUCCGGAUUUAUUGGGCGUAAAGCGAGUGCAGGCGGGUCCAUAAGGCUUAUGUGUAAGACUUUCG
rnacentral:rRNA from 1 species